CGCCGCCAUUUUAGCCCUGGAAUUGGGUGGUGACUGACCACAAAAUGGCACACGGAGGCUGCAGCUAUGUUAGGCAGGGCAGAAGGAGGCAGAAGGAGAGCCACCCAGUUGACUUAUGUUGAAGGCGGACAUAGGAAAAGCAGAUGAAAGACUAAAACAGAGAUGAAAUGGCCUUUAAGCACAGAGAGGAAGAAAAAAGGAAAAAAAGAAGGAAAAGUACAUUUCACACCACCCUCACAAGAUUGCUGCUAAAAUAAAAUCAAUGAGUAGAAGCUCUCCACACUGUACAUUUCUAGAACUAUGAUACCUAGAAAAAUAGCAUCAUUUAAAUAUAAAUACACCAAGCUCUUUGCAAACUUGAGGCUUUCCCUUUAGCAGAUUUUCCAUCACAGGUACCUACCAUACUAAUAUUUGCGUGACAUCCACCAUCAUAGGAACAUGAAGUCCUACAGAGACAAAGACCCUGCAUCUAAUUUACAGUGAGACGAGAAUUGUUCUUGCAAAGUUAUAAAACAAAAUACUGAAGUCAAUUUGAAGUUUGGCUUACAUAAAGAUGGCAAAAUAAUAUUUAGAUA